AGCGAACGUUAGCGGCGGGCCUAACACAUGCAAGUCGAACGAGAAUGAGGGGGCAACUCCUCUAGUAAAGUGGCGGACGGGUGCGUAACACGUGGGUAAUCUACCUUCCAGCGGGGACAACCGUCCGAAAGGAUGGCUAAUACCGUAUACGUCGGCGAGGGCCAUGGCUCUUGUCGGGAAAGAUGGCCUCUUCAUGAAAGCUGUCACUGGAAGAUGAGCUCGCGUCCCAUCAGCUAGUUGGUGAGGUAACGGCUCACCAAGGCUUAGACGGGUAGCUGGUCUGAGAGGAUGAUCAGCCACACUGGAACUGCGACACGGUCCAGACUCCUACGGGAGGCAGCAGUGGGGAAUAUUGGGCAAUGGGCGAAAGCCUGACCCAGCCACGCCGCGUGAGUGAUGAAGGCC
rnacentral:rRNA from 1 species